GGAGCAUCUGAUGGGGGUGUGAACAGCCCAGGGAACACAGGUGGAAGCAAUUCCCCUGUGGGGUGGGAAGGGGAGGAGCCAAAGCCCACCCUGAGCUCAUUUAAAGGCUGGAAGCUGAAGGGGGAGGAUCAGUGCUUGGUGGUUGCUCUGGCUGUUUGGUAAGCACCAAAACAGUUUGCUGGACUGGAGACUCAACCAUCAGAUGCCGUUGUUAUUCCUGGUCUCCCCAGAUUGCAACGUUGGAUGUGCCCUGAUCCUUGGAAAGGGGUGGCAGUGGAGAGUUGUGACCCUCCCGAGCGGUGCAAGGAUUCUACUGAGGCUCUUGGUGGACACAGUAGGAACCCACAGCCUGAGAUGGACGCCAAGAUCCACUCCUUCCUUUGUCUGGCAAGCUCUGCUGACCCGUGAGGUCAUUCCCAUGCUUGCAGAGGUCCUGUGGGCUUGGUGUUGGUUGUCCUUUGUGCUCACCUUGCUGUCAC
rnacentral:lncRNA from 1 species